UACGGGGGGGGCAAGCGUUGUUCGGAAUUACUGGGCGUAAAGGGCUCGUAGGUGGCCAACUAAAUCAGACGUGAAAUCCCUCGGCUUAACCGGGGAACUGCGUCUGAUACUGGAUGGCUAGAGAUUGGGAGAGGGAUGCGGAAUUCCAGGUGUAGCGGUGAAAUGCGUAGAUAUCUGGAGGAACACCGGUGGCGAAGGCGGCAUCCUGGACCAACACUGACGCUGAGGAGCGAAAGCCAGGGGAGCAAACGGG
rnacentral:rRNA from 1 species